AUUGAACGCUGGCGGCAUGCCUUACACAUGCAAGUCGAACGGCAGCACGGGUGCUUGCACCUGGUGGCGAGUGGCGAACGGGUGAGUAAUACAUCGGAACAUGUCCUGUAGUGGGGGAUAGCCCGGCGAAAGCCGGAUUAAUACCGCAUACGAUCUACGGAUGAAAGCGGGGGACCUUCUGGCCUCGCGCUAUAGGGUUGGCCGAUGGCUGAUUAGCUAGUUGGUGGGGUAAAGGCCUACCAAGGCGACGAUCAGUAGCUGGUCUGAGAGGACGACCAGCCACCCUGGGACUGAGACACGGCCCAGACUCCUACGGGAGGCAGCAGUGGGGAAUUUUGGACAAUGGGCGAAAGCCUGAUCCAGCAAUGCCGCGUGUGUGAAGAAGGCCUUCGGGUUGUAAAGCACUUUUGUCCGGAAAGAAAUACUUGGCCCUAAUACGGUCGGGGGAUGACGGUACCGGAAGAAUAAGCACCGGCUAACUACGUG
rnacentral:rRNA from 1 species